GUAGCAUGGCGAAAGGGGCAGUAACACCUAGGCAAUCUACCCUCGGGUCCGGGAUAUGCGGCGGAAACGCCGAGUAAUACUGGGAGUCGUUUGGGGACGGCAUCGUUCCUUGAUGAAAGGUCCGCUGCCCGAGGAGGAGCUUAGGUCCCAUCAGCUAGUUGGUAGGGUAACGGCCUACCAAGGCUCUGACGGGUAGAGGGUGUGAGAGCACGACCCUCGCCACUGGCACUGAGACACUGCCCAGACACCUACGGGUGGCUGCAGUCGAGAAUCUUCGGCAAUGAGCGCAAGCUUGACCGAGCGACGCCGCGUGGAGGAUGAAGGCCUUCGGGUUGUAAACUCCUGUCAGAGGGGAGGAAAGUGAGGCGGGCUCUCCCGCUUUAUUGACCUAGCCCCAGAGGAAGGACGGGCUAAAUUCGUGCCAGCAGCCGCGGUAAUACGAAUCGUCCUAACGUUGUUCGGAUUCACUGGGUUUAAAGGGCGCGUAGGCGGUGCGUUAAGUCGGUGGUGAAAUACUUUGGCUCAACCAGAGAAUUGCCGCUGAAACUGGCGCGCUCGAGGGAGGUAGAGGUGCAUGGAACUUCCGGUGGAGCGGUGAAAUGCGUUGAUAUCGGAAGGAACACCUGUGGCGAAAGCGGUGCACUGGACCUCUUCUGACGCUGAUGCGCGAAAGCCAGGGGAGCGAACGGGAUUAGAUACCCCGGUAGUCCUGGCCAUAAACGAUGGGGACUAGAGAGUAGAUGCUCCGAUGUGUUUACUCUCGAAGCAAAAGUGAUAAGUCC
rnacentral:rRNA from 1 species